GGUUGAUCCUGCCAGUAGUCAUAUGCUCGUCUCAAAGGUUAAGCCAUGCAAGCCUAAGUACAAACUUGGAUAGCUGUAAGGCAUACAAAGUGAAACCGCGAAAGGCUCAUUAAAUCAGUUAUGGUUCACUAGAUGGCACCAUAGACUCACGUGCGGGCAACCGCAUUAGAGCUGACUUGGAUAACUGUGGCAAUUCUAGAGCUAAUACAUGCAAAUCGAGUCCCGACCGCGACAAGUCGAGAGCGUGAGUUCUU
rnacentral:rRNA from 1 species